UGGGGAAUAUUGCACAAUGGGGGAAACCCUGAUGCAGCGACGCCGCGUGAGCGAAGAAGGCUUUCGAGUCGUAAAGCUCUGUCCUAUGAGAAGAUAAUGACGGUAUCAUAGGAGGAAGCCCUGGUUAAAUACGUGCCAGCAGCCGCGGUAAUACGUAUGGGGCGAGCGUUGUCCGGAAUUAUUGGGCGUAAAGGGUACGUAGGCGGUUUUUUAAGUCAGGUGUCAAAGCGUGGAGCUUAACUCCAUUAAGCACUUGAAACUGAAAGACUUGAGUGAAGGAGAGGAAAGUGGAAUUCCUAGUGUAGCGGUGAAAUGCGUAGAUAUUAGGAGGAAUACCGGUGGCGAAGGCGACUUUCUGGACUUUUACUGACGCUCAGGUACGAAAGCGUGGGGAGCAAACAGG
rnacentral:rRNA from 1 species